GCUCCCUGCUCUGUGCCUGUGGAAGGGUGGGAGGGCUGGCCCCCAGGAGAGAGUCCAUUCCUUCUCCUGACCCUCUGGCCUUCUUAGUGAUUGAGGUGGAGGAGGGGUCAGGACACAGAAUAGAGAGGCCUGGCCAUGCCGGUCUCUGGCCCUGGUGGGGAGAGAUGCCAUACUGCUUAGUGGCCAGUGGGUAGGAGGACACCUUCCCAGCCAGCAAGGAAAGUCCACCAGGCCUCCCUGGAACAAGGCCCCCCAGGAAGUAGGCUGUGAUGUAAGAGAAACGGGAAGGUCACACCUAAUGAUGAACUAACUUCUGUGGGGCGAUCUCUGCCCUCUAAGCAAGCAAAGGCUUGAGAAAGAGGGCCAAGAAGCAAAGCUGCCUACAGUGGGAUCUGCUGCUCCUCCUCCAGCCUGCAAGAGAGCUCAUAGCACCCUCUUGCCCGCUUCUUGCUCCCCAUAUUCUGGGGACCAGCCUCCACAUCCCACCCUGCAGGCCUUGCUAAACAUUCCUGGAAUCUGGAUUUGGAACAGUGGCCAGGGCAUGGCAUGAAGAGGGCACGAGAAGGCACAGAGCUGCAGUUACUCCUCCCCUCCAGAGAGCUUCCAUUUUUACUUGAACCAGCUUGCAGCCAGCUCUUGCCAUCCUCUGAGGCUGCAAGUCAUAUAUUAGAAAAUCCACCCAUUCAACAAGGGUUUAAGGAGCAUCUGGUAUGUACCAGGCCCUGUGGAUGAAAACAAACAUGGUGCCACCCUCAAGGAGCUUCCACGUGAGUGUGGGAGAUAGACAUUGAAUGAAAAUUUAUAGCUGAGCA
ensembl:lincRNA